ACACGUACUGUGCGAACGUUAUUCGGAAUCACUGGGCUUAAAGGGUACGUAGGCGGCCUAUCAAGUCAGGUGUGAAAUCCCACGGCUCAACCGUGGAACUGCGCUUGAAACUGAUAGGCUUGAGAGAGACAGGGGUGUGUGGAACUUCUCGUGGAGCGGUGAAAUGUGUUGAUAUGAGAAGGAACACCGGUGGCGAAGGCGACACACUGGGUCUUUUCUGACGCUGCGGUACGAAAGCUAGGGGAGCGAACGGGAUUAGAAACCCUUGUAGUCC
rnacentral:rRNA from 1 species